ensembl:lncRNA
AUGAAGCUGAUGCUGACUGUCUGUCUGGCUUCUGUUCUGCUCUACACAGCUGAGUCACUGCGCUGCUAUCAGUGCACCAAUGAAUCAUGUUCCAACUCAACCUCAGUCCUGUGUCCUCUCACGAGUACAGUGUGCAGAACUAUCACUUCAGUGAGGCUGAGCAAUACAAUUGCUAGUGUGACGGUGGGAAAAAACUGUUCCUCGCCGCUGUCCUGCAUCACUCCCAACAACGUUGAAACUGAAUGGUCUGUGAACCGAGGUUUUAAAAAAGAAGCCCACACACAGAUUUGCUGCACAACUGAUAACUGCAACCUCGGGACACUGGCUGUUCCCAAUCUUUUAACAAAUGGGAAGCAGUGUGUUGCAUGUGCAAGCUCAGCUGACAGCAUGGCAGGAACCUGCAACACCACACUGUCCUGUGCGGGAGUUGAGGACCGUUGCUUCAAUGGCACUAUGAUGUCAAACUCUACAGAGAUGUUGGAGCUCGGCUGUAUAUCCAGUAACCUCUGUGGUAUCCCACUCAUCCUGGAAGCUGUGCUUAGUGAAAAUGCUGUGGUCACCUGUGGAGCACCAUGGACCGUCAGCGUCAGUGGCCUCCUGCUGACCUUUGCUCUCACAGCAUGUAAAGUCCUUGUUUAGAGAAUAAACAUGCUCAAACACACAUUCAAAAAGAUAUCUCUGUAAUGGUUCAUUGAGUUAUGUGAUGAUGUCAUCUGUGUGCAGAUAACAUUAUGCACAUGCAUAACAGCACACCCAUACACACACAGAAAGAUGUAAUCACACGGAGAAGUCACAGACUUAGAGGCAGACACUAAUGCUUCAUGAAAGAGUCGGUGAUAACUGUUGAAGCCAGGCGAAACACGAAAUACCAGGACGCACGCUGAGUGACAGCCUGUCAGUCAACUCUUCAUGUCACAGACAUUAACAUACCCAAAUCCCUGCAGCUUGGAAAGCUUGAGCGCAGUCUUGAGGAGUGCUUCUGGUUUAUGACAUAACAUGCUUCUCUGUGGGACACACCACAGCUAUUUAGACCAGCACACCUGUUUCAGUCUGCAGCUGAGCAGAACAGCUUUUAACAUUUUGUUUCAGACCAUACAUGUGUGUUAUUUCUGUGAUUAAAUUUUAAGACUUUUAAGCUUUUUCCUCAUGUUAAUCAGUUAAGUCUUUAACUUCUUCUCAUUGCUUCUGUCAUUUUUUUCAGCAAAUACACCUUCAGUGUAUUCAUAUUAAAGCAAAAUAAUGUAUAUUUUUUAAAAUCUUAAAAUAACAGCUUCAAAAUCAUUUUGAUCGCACAAUCUCUUGUAACAGGAUGAAGGUAUCUCUGUCCUGUUUCUUCAGUGAUGUAGUAAUGUAACCUCAGCGAGAGCCGUUACAGCAUCACAAGAUACAUGUUUUCAACACAUCAUGAUGUCAUGAGUUUUGUUUGUAGUUGGCACCUACAUUACAUCUGACAAACUGUUACACACCUGGGGUUUCAAUCGAUCUUCAUUUGUAUAAUGCCAAUUCACAACAAAAGUUGAUUCUGGACACUUCAUGAGCAGUUCCUUUCAUGCCCUUUCAGUUUGAGAGUGUGAUUUAAGGUUUCUGUCUUAAUGUUUUCCUUCAGAACCCGCCCUGGUACUCAGAUAUCCCCUGCUUGUGCUUAGAAUUGCUCUGCUCUCAGAUGUUUUCUGGAAUACUCCUGUCACACUUCUCCAGUCAAUAGAAUGCUAGGUGGCGUGGCGACCCAUGAAAUGAUCCCUGCUUCGUUGCAGAUGUGUUGCUUUACUACUUAGGACAUCUGGUAAGAGUGCUAUAGGGGGACAUUCAGUGGCUUAACUGCUGUGAUCAUACAGAGUUUGGCUGCAUUUUUCUUCAGUGAAUUUCUACACAAUGAUCAAUUCUAAAACAAAAACCUCACCUCCAUACAUGUUUCAGUAGGAAUCUGAUUUAGAAUUUUGGAGAAAUUAUCAACACCUGUGCCACUAGGCGGCACUGUUAUGAGGCAGACACUACUUGAGACACUGUGGAAAGAUAGAGACUACUGACUGUACAAUACUGUGUUGCUCCUCAAACUCAUAUUAUGCUGUUCUGUUAGCCUGUUAAUAACCAGCACUUGUCUCGUCUGGACUUUUUUCUGUGCUUUUGUGUGUUUUGGUGUUCUCUGUGAUUAAAAAUCUGAAUUUGAAUUUUCCAAAAUGGAGGUCCCAUGAGGUCCACCAGAAGAGGUGUGACUUCGGCUCUCUAUUGGCUGGGUUAUUUUGAAAAAAUUAUUACACAAAACAUCUAAGAGUGCAGGAGAUACCUGGAGGAAGUUGCAGAAGUUUCACGGAGCAGAGGGGCUGAAGCUCGACUGCAUUAAAUCAGUCCAAGCCACAAUAUAUUUGAGCACAGUCAGAACAAUCCUUAGCACAUCCAUCCAUCCAUCCAUCCAUCCAUUUUCGUCCGCUUAUCCGGGGCUGGGUCGCGGGGGCAGCUGCCUGAGCAGGGACACCCAGACUUCCCUCUCCCCGGACACUUCCUCCAGCUCUUCUGGGAGGAUCCCAAGGCAUUCCCAGGCCAGCUGAGUGACAUAGUCACACCAGCGUGUCCUGGGUCUUCCUCAGGGUCCCCCUCCCCCCCCGGCGGGACAUG